AUGACAGAGGAAACAACAGUGUCUGCCCUGGCUCCCUCUCCUCCUGGUGAAGCCGAAGAGGAAAAAAUUGAGGAGUAUGACCGCGAGGCUCCAUCAGUGGUCACACCUGAGCCUGAAUCUUCUGAGCCAAUGACAGAGACACCAGCAGUGUCUGCCCUGGCUCCCUCUCCUCCUGGUGAACAAGCCAGAGAGGAGCAAAUUGAGGAGUAUGACCUUGAGGCUCAAUCAGGGGUCACACCAGAGCCUGAAUCUCCUGAGCCAGUAAGUGCCCAUUGUGGGUGGGGCUGUCUUUAGUGCAAGGCAGAGCUGCAAGU
rnacentral:lncRNA from 1 species